rnacentral:rRNA from 1 species
GUGUAGUCGGUGGCAGUGCGCGCGGUAAUUGUUAGGGGACAAGCGUUGGCCGGAUUGACUGGGUGUAAAGGGUGCGCAGGCGGACUGGUGAAGCUGGGGUGAAAUCUCGCCGCUUAACGGCGAAACUGCCUUAGAUACUAUCAGUCUUGGAUAAGCGAGUGGUUCGUGGAAUUCCGAGUGUAGCAGUGAAAUGUGUAGAUAUUCGGAAGAACACCAGUGGCGAAGGCAGCGAACUGGCGCUUUAUCGACGCUCAUGCACGAAAGCAUGGGGAUCAAACAGGAUUAGAUACCCGAGUAGUC